rnacentral:rRNA from 1 species
UACGUAGGGGGCAAGCGUUGUCCGGAAUCAUUGGGCGUAAAGAGCGUGUAGGCGGUUCGGUAAGUCGGCUGUGAAAGUCCAGGGCUCAACCCUGGGAUGCCGGCCGAUACUGCCGGACUAGAGUUCGGAAGAGGCGAGUGGAAUUCCGGUGUAGCGGUGAAAUGCGCAGAUAUCGGGAGGAACACCUAUGGCGAAGGCAGCUCGCUGGGACGUUACUGACGCUGAGACGCGAAAGCGUGGGGAGCAAACAGG